UAGUAUUUUAUGAAUUAAAUAAUAUUUUAUUUUUUUGCAGUCAAGAUCUUGAAUGAACUCAAGAUGAAACUUUUAUGUUAAACAUAAACUUGGUUAUUCAUUUAAAUGCAGCAAUUAUUAAAGUGUUUAUUUAAAUAAUUAAUUAUGAGUUUAUCUCUGAAAAUCAGCAUUAUUAAGGUUUUUGAAAAUAAAAUAGUUGGUUUAGGGAAUUAUUGGGCAAUGAUUUAAAAAAAAAUAUAUGUUCCCAUAUAAUAAUUAUGUAAAAUAAGAGGAAGUCAGCGCACGUUUGUUUUCUCUGACCUACACGCAACAUCAUCAUAGCCCGAAUUUUAAUUUUACUUUAAAUUAUUUUAAUAGAAAAAACGUUUGAAAAAUAACAAAUAUUGUGCAUUAUUCAAAUGUAUAUUUUAGCAUCUAUAUAACUAUAAUGUUGAAAAUCAGGCUUUUAUCUGACAUGCAAAAUGUCCUCUUUUUUUAGGUAAAAACAAAUUGACGAAAUCCGACUAUUCACAGGGUGUGUGAGUUUUUCUUGUUCACAUGUUUUUGUACUAAACACUCACCGGCUUUGACGCGCUUAACCCUAAACAUAAUCCUCUAUAAUUUUUGCAAUAGGUGAUUAGUAUCUAAGAUUACUCAAAAAUCAUAAAACCCGAUUUUACAAGAAUGCGUUUUAUGUAUGUUUCGCAUGGGUUUGAGAGGGGUAAAAAAUAUUGCGCUGACAAGCUCAACGUCCUCUUAAUGUAGGUAUAUUAUUAUCACGCAUAAUUUAUAUUUAAGCCGAAGUUGUUAAUUAUAUUAUAUCUAAUGCAAAUCUCGAGUGUUUAUAGGUAUAUAUAAAUGUCUAAUCAUUAAUGUGUACCUAGUGGACAGUGAUAUUUUAUCACGCACGUGCACAUAAACAUUAAACACGUUUAUUGAGUGUUGUGAAAAUCAUGUUUUAUAUAUAUUUGAUACCACGAAACUUUCGAAACUACAAAACUAUUUGUAUACUAGUUAACACUUGACACGUAGAUUCAUUAAUAUCAUGUUACUUAAAUAAAGUAAAUAUACUAUUAAAUAUAAAAAUACAAAAUAUAUGGUUCUUUUAUCCUUGUAUACAUUCAUAAAACGUAUCAAAUAAUUUAAUUGGUAAAAAUUAAAAGGUAAUUCUAAAUAAUUGUUCUAAAAUAUUGGCUACCUAUUCAACUAAACAGUAAAACUAUAAAAGGUACGGUCGGACCGGAACUUGGCCAGCCAGACCGGACUCUCCGGCAGGAAAAUGACCAGGAGCACCGUCGUGACGGCCGUGAAUAUGAAAAAUAUCACGUUGACUGUCUGCCACUGGAACAGCGAUCCGACGGUGGUGGC